rnacentral:ncRNA from 1 species
AGAACUAACAAUCCAAGCGGUGGAAUGAUGGAGUAACGCCCUGAAACGCCCCCUUAAUACUCCGACUGGCACCAAAGAUGGAAACAUCCGGCGUCAGAAGCUCGGUGAAGGCGGCCGAGAGCAGCCGUAAGAAAUGCUGGAAAGUCACCAGCCCCACGAAAGCCGUCCAGAGGUGGACGGUGCUGCCCAUAGGCCGGAGGUCUACAAA